UGAUCUUUUGGAGAGUCCACAUUGUAGACUGGAGACUCUAAGAUGGACGUGAUCAGCUGAGUGCUGAUGAUCCAGAGAGCAUCUGGAGACUGGGACUGCUCCACCACCUCCACCUGGAUUUGAUUUAGUCGACCACACAGCAGAAGACUUUUAAAAGAUUAGAAGAUUUGUUUUGCUUGGAUGUCCAAGACACAACAACAUGUGUACUAAUUGUUGGACAUUCGUUUGUGUGCCGCUCCGCAGGCCGACAAACACCAGUCAGUGUCCAUUUUAUUUUGAAGGUCAAUUCCAGAAGUCCCCGUUUCAACGUCGGUGAAUUGAAGCCUACUAACCUGCACGGCUCUGUGCACGAGCCUGGAGUGUGUGUCAACUUUAUGAUCAGACACAGACAUGUUUGUUUUCUGCAGAAAUAUUCAUUUUAUGAAGCUCAUUAUAAUAUUAUAUUUUAGUAAUUCUGAGAAAAAUUAAGUCAAAUCAUUCUAAAUCCUAAUGGAAAUAUUAUACUGUUUUUAUUUGUAAUAAUUAUAAUUGAUAUAUCAUAUUGUGAACAGAGUAAAGCUCGAAACCACAAACGUUUCCCUGUUUAUGUAUAAAUACAGUGUACGUACA